GACGAACGCUGGCGGCGUGCUUAACACAUGCAAGUCGAACGAUGAUGCCAGCUUGCUGGUGGAUUAGUGGCGAACGGGUGAGUAACACGUGAGCAACCUGCCCCUGACUUCGGGAUAACCGCGGGAAACCGUGGCUAAUACCGGAUAUGACGCGCUAUCGCAUGGUGGUGGGUGGAAAGAUUUAUCGGUUGGGGAUGGGCUCGCGGCCUAUCAGCUUGUUGGUGGGGUGAUGGCCUACCAAGGCGACGACGGGUAGCCGGCCUGAGAGGGUGACCGGCCACACUGGGACUGAGACACGGCCCAGACUCCUCCGGGAGGCAGCAGUGGGGAAUAUUGCACAAUGGGCGCAAGCCUGAUGCAGCGACGCCGCGUGCGGGAUGACGGCCUUCGGGUUGUAAACCUCUUUCAGUAGGGAAGAAGGCCUUCGGGUUGACGGUACCUGCAGAAGAAGCGCCGGCUAACUACGUG
rnacentral:rRNA from 1 species